rnacentral:rRNA from 1 species
AGUGAACGCUGGCGGUAGGCCUAACACAUGCAAGUCGAACGGCAGCACAGUAAGAGCUUGCUCUUACGGGUGGCGAGUGGCGGACGGGUGAGGAAUACAUCGGAAUCUACUUUUUCGUGGGGGAUAACGUAGGGAAACUUACGCUAAUACCGCAUACGACCUACGGGUGAAAGCAGGGGAUCUUCGGACCUUGCGCGAUUGAAUGAGCCGAUGUCGGAUUAGCUAGUUGGCGGGGUAAAGGCCCACCAAGGCGACGAUCCGUAGCUGGUCUGAGAGGAUGAUCAGCCACACUGGAACUGAGACACGGUCCAGACUCCUACGGGAGGCAGCAGUGGGGAAUAUUGGACAAUGGGCGCAAGCCUGAUCCAGCCAUACCGCGUGGGUGAAGAAGGCCUUCGGGUUGUAAAGCCUUUUUGCUGGGAAAGAAAAGCAGCAGGUUAAUACCCCGCUGUUCUGACGGUACCCAAAGAAUAAGCACCGGCUAACUUCGUG